rnacentral:rRNA from 1 species
AUUGAACGCUGGCGGCAGGCUUAACACAUGCAAGUCGAGCGAGCGGCGGACGGGUGAGUAAUGUCUGGGAAACUGCCUGAUGGAGGGGGAUAACUACUGGAAACGGUAGCUAAUACCGCAUACCAUCAGAUGUGCCCAGAUGGGAUUAGCUAGUAGGUGGGGUAAUGGCUCACCUAGGCGACGAUCCCUAGCUGGUCUGAGAGUAGGACCAGCCACACUGGAACUGAGACACGGUCCAGACUCCUACGGGAGGCAGCAGUGGGGAAUAGUGCACAAUGGGCGCAAGCCUGAGGCAGCAAGGCCGCGUGAGUGAAGAAGGUCUUCGGGUCGUAAAGCACUGUCAGCGAGGAGGCGUUACUCGCAGAAGAAGCACCGGCUAACUCCGUGCCAGCAGCCGCGGUAAUAC